GUGAUUAUGUGGGACCCCUACACCGGCGAAAGGCUGAGGUCACUCCAGUAAGGACUGAAUCCCUGCUAUGACUUUUUUGUGGGGGGACUGAUGAGGAACCUGCCUGGGAUUAGACAUGUCUCUUUUAGAAUCUGGGACAUGGGAGGGGACAAGCUGGAUAAAAAGGCACAGUGGGUCUCUUUUUCUUUUGAGACAGAGUCUCGCUCUGUCACCCAGGCUGGAGUGCAGUGGCGCAAUCUUGGAUCACUGCAACCUCCACCUCCCGGGUUCAAGCGAUUCUGCUGCCUGAGCCUCCCGAGUAGCUAGGACUACAAGCGUGCGCCACCAGGCCUGGCUAAUUUUUGUAUUUUUAGUAGAGAUGGGAUUUCACCAUGUUGGCCAGGCUAGUCUCAAACUCCUGACCUCAGGUGAUCCACCGCCUCAGUCUCCCAAACUGCUAUUAUAGGCAUGAGCCACUGCGCCUGGCCUGGUUCAUUGCUUCUUAGUGAUGCCUUGUCAAUUAAGCCCUCUCAAGUAGCUUUGAGUGUCUUCCAGUCUCCCGAUUCAGGUGGCUGUGUGUACUUCUUCGGAAUCAGCAUUAUGAAGCCUCAAUAUGACUCUUUAUUUCCAUUUACUAAUAACUGUAGUAACAAGUUCAGAAAGAGCCUCUUAUCGAAACUGUGCUUUCCAAAAUGAGUUUCAUGUUCUCACAAA
rnacentral:sRNA from 1 species